rnacentral:rRNA from 1 species
CCGCCUGCCCAGUGACACACGUUCAACGGCCGCGGUAUCCUAACCGUGCAAAGGUAGCAUAAUCAUUUGUUCUUUAAAUAAGGACCUGUAUGAAUGGCCGCAUGAGGAUUGACUUGUCUCUUACACCAAAUCGAUGAACCUGAUCCCCCAGUCCAAAAGCUGGGAUACCCGCAUAAGACGAGAAGACCCUGUGGAGCUUUAAACUACCUACCACACAGCCUGACUUAGCAUGUUUUUAGUUGGGGCGACUUUGGAGCAAAACACAACCUCCAAACACACAAACCCAAGGCCCACACGCCACCGCACUACCGCCUGACCCAAUAAUAAUUGAGUAAUGAACCAAGUUACCCCAGGGAUAACAGCGCAAUCUUCUUUUAGAGUCCCUAUCGACAAGAAGGUUUACGACCUCGAUGUUGGAUCAGGAUACCCAAAUAGUGCAGCCGCCAUUAAAGGUUCGUUUGUUCAACGAUUAAAAUCCU